rnacentral:lncRNA from 1 species
UCCGUCUCUGGCCCGAUCUCUCUCGCCAGAAGUCCCAUACCAUCGCACGAAUUUAUCUCCCAGGUCACCUAGGUUUUCCUGGGGUUCAGAGGGCGGAGACAGUACCUUGGGCCCUAGGUGGGGCAUAGUAAGCAAACAAGAGGAACCUGGGAGUGGGAGACCUUGAGUGGCUGCAGCAGCCACACCUCGCGGCGGUGACCCCGCCUGGCUCUCCCCAGCUCCGGCCUCCCUCUGCUUAUCUUGGUGUGCGUGCGUGCGUGCAUGUGCGGUGUCUUGGAGGUACUUUUCUCCCGCAUCCUACCUCCGCCAACUAGGAGGGACUUGACUUUCUGUUGUCCCUAGAUUGCAAGGCUCCGUGACAUUGCUAUCCGACUUAGGUCAGUCUGUAUUGGUUGAAUCAUUCUUUUGUUUUGUUUUGAAAGGGGUCACAGGUAGCUCGGGCUGGCCUGGACCUCUCUGACCUUGAAUUUCUUGAUCCUCCUGCCUCCACUGCUCACGGUGGGAUUAAAGGUCUUGUUCUUUAAAUUAAAAACAAAAAGUUCUUGAGCGCGUAUCUGUAUAUUCGUGUAUAUUCGUGCGUGGGUUCAGAUGUGUAUGCGGGUACUCCUGCAUGUGCGUUGGCAGGCAGGUAGAGUUGACAUCCUGCAUUCCUCUGCUUUUAUCUAUCUGGAAUCCCUUCUCUAGCAGGUUCUAUCUGGAAUCCCUUCUCUAGCUGAAGGGUUUGCCCCAGGACUCUCCUGUCUUCUUUACAAAGAAUCUGGAGCUAUAAAUUUCAGUCCUCAUGUGGUCGUGCUUAUCCACUGGGCCAUCUCCUAGCCCUAAUUUAUUUUUUUAUUAGGAUAUGAUAUAUAUGUAUAUAUAUAUGUAUAUAUAUCAUAUGUAUAUAUAUGUAUAUAUAUUCAUUCUUGCAUCUUUCAUGCACACACAACAUAUUUUUCACAUUCAUAUUUACAACAUUCAAUCAGUUUCAUAUCUCUGAGGCCUUCGCUCUUCCGACUUAAUUAGUUAGUUAAUGAAUUUUGAUAACCAGAUGAGUUUCAUUAGGGUUGCUUACAGAGUCUCAUUUGAGAGACUGUUCACAGCAUGAAGUCUUUAUCCUGAGGCCACACCUCUCUCUCCUCUCUCUCUCUCUCAAAAUUUAUUAAGCAGAAGAGGACACUAGAUGUGGUUGUGAGCCACCAUGUGGUUGCUGGGAUUUGAACUUAGGACCUCUGGAAAAGCAGUCAGUGCUCUUAACCACUGAGCCAUCUCUCCAGCCCAGUGCCAUUCUUCCACCGAUUCACUUAGAGCAGUGGUUCUCAACCUUUCUAAUGCUACAAUCCAUUAAUACAGUUCCUCAUGUUGUGAUGAUGCCCCCUACCAUAAAAUUAUUUUGUUGCUACCUCAUAAGUAUAACUUUGCUACAUUAUGAACCGUAAUGUAAAUAUCUGAUAUGUGACCCAAGGGGGUCGGGACCCAUGUGUUGAGAAUCACUGACUUAGAGGUGUCUUACAUUCUUAACAGUGGCCACCAGACUCCUUGAAUUCAGAACUCUUGGCUGCACGCCUGCAGUAAGGCCUCUGCCAGGAUUUAGAAGCUAUAUACCUGAAUACAAUCUGACAUGGGGUAUUUAACAUUUAAUAGGUACUAAGUUUUUACAGUGUUAGGGAUCAAAAUCCUGGUCUUUUUUUUUUUUUAAUAUUUCUCAUUUAUUUACUUAUUUUAUGUAUAUGAGUACACUGUAGCUGUCUUCAGACACACCAGAAGAGGGUAUUAGAUCUCAUUACAGAUGGUUGUGAGCCACCAUGUGGUUGCUGGGAAUUGAACUCAGGACCUCUGGUAGAGCAGUCAGUGAGUGCUCUUAAACGCUGAGCCAUCUUUCCAGCCCCUAAAUCCCUGGUCUUGUUAGAGCUAUGCAAGCUCUGCCUUUGAGCUAACAACCCCAGCCCCUCUGUUAGAGAGCACUCACUAGAAACAAGUCUUGUUUCUUUUUCUUUCUUUUUUUUUUUUUUCUGAAGAUGCGGCUGUGAGCAAUCUAAAGGAGUUCUGGGUUCUUCAUAUCCACAUGCAAAUGAAGGUGAGGUCAGGGAAUCAGGAAUUACAAGGGCUGAGAGGGAUAAAGCAGCAUCCGAUGAUACACGGCUGCUGGUUUGGCUUGUUGCGGUAUCCCUAGCGUUGCCCUGCCCGGCACCUAUCAAGGCACCAUCUUGAUCUGCUCUAUCAAGGAUUGAGUCGAAGGGAAGCACUAUGAACCCAUGUUCACCGAAGAAGCCAUAUCUGGGUUGCUGAUGGCUGAACUACAGCUUUAGGUUGUGAAGAGACCUCUGAAUGUUGCAUAGCAUGAGUCAGAAUUACAGGGGCUAUCUCCAGUUCCCUUCAGUAGUCAUCUACUAGUUCUGUCUGAGUUUACGUCUUUGCGACUCUUAGGUGCAACUUUUGGAAUGCACGGCUGAACUUGCUAGACCACUGGUGCCCGCCGACCCCAAAAGCUCUGCCCUUGUUGUGCCCCUCCCCAUGUGUUUGGUAAAUGUAGUGACUCAUGGCUUCUUUUGUUUUGUGACUAUAAAAAGUUCAAGUCGCCUCCUCCUCAGUGGAACACGACAUUGGGGACAGCCCAAAUCCCUGUUCCCAGACACAGGUACUCUCAGUUGGCCCAGAAGAAGUGGCUUUCAUUCUUGUGAUGUGGGACCUCAGAGAUGAUCUUCCGAGGAGGCAUCAGGACUGGCACCAGGUGCCAGCACCAGCCGUCUCCGUCCCUGUUGUAUCUCAGAGUAGACAAUGGUGAGUCCUUCCAGGAGCCCCCCACCCCACCCCACCUUUUGUCGUGGUUGGUGGCUUGCUGGUUUGUUCUAAACUGGUUGUUGUGUUGGACAUCCUAUUACUGUUUCAAUACAUUCUUUUGGGACAUCUGUUGCUAGCACUGGGCUUUUCUAACUGUACUUUCCCAUUUCUUGUUCAUCUUCAUUGGAAACUUUGCCCUGUUUAGUUUAGAAAUUCUGAGUGCUGGUUGUAAAGAUGCCCUGAGUUUCUUCUAACCCUGCAGGUGGGGGUCCUCGGAAGGACAUGUGGUGGCCUCCUACUGAGGCUUUGGGCUGGCAAAAUGGCUCAGCAGGUAAAGCCUGACCACCUGGGCUCAAUCCUGGGAUGCAGAAGGUGGAAGAGUAAACUGACCCCUGCAAUUUGUGCUCUGACCUCCACACAAAUGGUGUGGCAUGUGUAUGUCCACCCCCCAAUACAAAUAAAUGUUAAAGAAGAAAGAUACAAACAAAAACCACCCGAACCAUAGCCUUACUCCCUCUGUCAGAAGCUCCUUUUUUGGCUCAC